CGCGCGGGCGUCUGGAGAGUGUAGUCUUUGGGGUGGAGAGGUCUGGGCGAGCAGGCUUCGCCAACGGCAGGGUGACUCUGACAUCUGCACCUCUCGUGCAACGAAGCUUAGGAGCUCAUGUUAAGAUGCCCAGACCGCAAGGUGCACAUGUUUCUUCUCCGAGGGCCAAUGAGAUCUCGCGGACCACGAGAGAGUCGCAGAAAUGCCCGAAGAUUCGAGAAAAUGUGGUCCUGGCGCCCCGCCGGUGUUACUGAGGCGGGUGGACAGACUGUGCGCGCUGACCUUCAGCGGCACGGGGAAGGAAAAGGGGCUGGAGGUUGAAUCAAUCACUAGUUCAUGCCUGUGUAGUGAAGCCUCCAUAAAAAAACAAAAAGAUGGGAGUUUGGAGAGCUUCCAGAUUGAUGAAGACUCGGGGAGAGUGGUGCACUCAGCAUGAAAGCUCUGUGACCCUUCCCCAUACCUUGCCCUAUGCAUCUCUUCCAUGUGGCUGUUCCUGUAUUAUCCUUCCAUAAUAAAAUGGUAAUCUGAGAGCGAGAGAGCACAAGCAGGCAGAGCAGCAGACAGAGGGAGAGGGAGAAGCAGGCUCUCCGCCAAGCAGGGAGCCCGAUGCAGGGCUCGAUCCCAGGCCCUGGGAUCAUGACCUGAGCCGAAGGCAGCCACUCAACCGACUGAGCCACCCAGGUGCCCCUGUUUAUUUUUAUAAUAAAAUAUUUCAUAUACAUUCAAGUAGAGAUGGGUACAGUGACAGAAAAUAAGGUCGAGGAAUCAGGUAAGACCCCACAGAGAUGUAAUGACGGAUAAAUAAAUGAUAUAUAAGGGCGUUUAUCCACAUAUGCAGACUUCAUAUGUUCACGUAAAUACUUACAUUUGUGCAUCAUUCAGUAGAGAGGUUUACACAGACUGCACUCACACUGUGAAGUCAACAGGAGAUGAAGUAAAAACAAAGCAGUUAUC